rnacentral:rRNA from 1 species
GACGAACGCUGGCGGCGUGCUUAACACAUGCAAGUCGAACGGAAAGGCCCUGCUUUUGUGGGGUGCUCGAGUGGCGAACGGGUGAGUAACACGUGAGUAACCUGCCCUUGACUUUGGGAUAACUUCAGGAAACUGGGGCUAAUACCGGAUAGGAGCUCCUGCUGCAUGGUGGGGGUUGGAAAGUUUCGGCGGUUGGGGAUGGACUCGCGGCUUAUCAGCUUGUUGGUGGGGUAGUGGCUUACCAAGGCUUUGACGGGUAGCCGGCCUGAGAGGGUGACCGGCCACAUUGGGACUGAGAUACGGCCCAGACUCCUACGGGAGGCAGCAGUGGGGAAUAUUGCACAAUGGGCGGAAGCCUGAUGCAGCAACGCCGCGUGCGGGAUGACGGCCUUCGGGUUGUAAACCGCUUUCGCCUGUGACGAAGCGUGAGUGACGGUAAUGGGUAAAGAAGCACCGGCUAACUACGUGCCAGCAGCCGCGGUGAUACGUAGGGUGCGAGCGUUGUCCGGAUUUAUUGGGCGUAAAGGGCUCGUAGGUGGUUGAUCGCGUCGGAAGUGUAAUCUUGGGGCUUAACCCUGAGCGUGCUUUCGAUACGGGUUGACUUGAGGAAGGUAGGGGAGAAUGGAAUUCCUGGUGGAGCGGUGGAAUGCGCAGAUAUCAGGAGGAACACCAGUGGCGAAGGCGGUUCUCUGGGCCUUUCCUGACGCUGAAGAGCGAAAGCGUGGGGAGCGAACAGGCUUAGAUACCCUGGUAGUCCACGCUGUAAACGGUGGGUACUAGGUGUGGGGUCCAUUCCACGGGUUCCGUGCCGUAGCUAACGCUUUAAGUACCCCGCCUGGGGAGUACGGCCGCAAGGCUAAAACUCAAAGGAAUUGACGGGGCCCCGCACAAGCGGCGGAGCAUGCGGAUUAAUUCGAUGCAACGCGUAGAACCUUACCUGGGUUUGACAUGGAUCGGGAGUGCUCAGAGAUGGGUGUGCCUCUUUUGGGGUCGGUUCACAGGUGGUGCAUGGCUGUCGUCAGCUCGUGUCGUGAGAUGUUGGGUUAAGUCCCGCAACGAGCGCAACCCUUGUUCACUGUUGCCAGCACGUUAUGGUGGGGACUCAGUGGAGACCGCCGGGGUCAACUCGGAGGAAGGUGGGGAUGACGUCAAGUCAUCAUGCCCCUUAUGUCCAGGGCUUCACGCAUGCUACAAUGGCUGGUACAGAGAGUGGCGAGCCUGUGAGGGUGAGCGAAUCUCGGAAAGCCGGUCUCAGUUCGGAUUGGGGUCUGCAACUCGACCUCGUGAAGUCGGAGUCGCUAGUAAUCGCAGAUCAGCAACGCUGCGGUGAAUACGUUCCCGGGGCU